AAACAUGGCUCUUUGGUAACUGAAUAUAAAGAGUCGGACCUGCCCAGUGAUUUAAUAUAUUUAACGGCCGCAGUACCCUGACUGUGCAAAGGUAGCAUAAUCAUUUGCCCUAUAAUUGAGGGCUAGUAUGAAUGGUUUGACAAGAACAUGACUGUCUCUUGUGAGAUAAUUAGAAGUUAAACUUUAGGUGAAGAUGCCUAAAUUAAACUAAAAGACGAGAAGACCCUGUUGAGCUUUAAAACCUUUAAGGUAUCCUAAACAGGUUUUUUGGUUGGGGCGACCUAGGAACAAAUCAAGCUUCCUUUAUUAGUUAAGACCUUUAGUCAUGAUCCAAUAUAAUUGAUUGACGGAAUAAGCUACCACAGGGAUAACAGCGUAAUUCUCUCUGAGAGUUCACAUUAAAGAGUGAGUUUGCGACCUCGAUGUUGGACUAAAAUAUCCUAAAGGUGCAGAUUCCUUUAAGGGUUGGUCUGUUCGACCAUUAAAAUUUUA
rnacentral:rRNA from 1 species